CCGGCCGAGUUUGUUCCGGAUGGUGAGCUCGCCUCGUCUGGAGGCGAACAUUGUUAGGGGCCUAUUCCACUGAAGAUUGUGCUUCAUAAAUACGCGAGAGUUCAUCCCAAGUACGAAGCAGUAGUUCCGGCACCGGCAUUUCGAACAACGUCAGAAAGUUCGGAUUGAAGCAGAAUAUUAAAAGAAAACGACGCGGAAAAA